GGAGAGAUGGCCAAGUGGUUCCAGAAGUAAAUUGGAAAUGCUAUGUAGGAUUUUAUUUACCGAGGGUUCGAAUCCCUCUCUUUCCA
rnacentral:tRNA from 1 species